rnacentral:lncRNA from 1 species
UUUUGGGGCAGUAUUUACUGACUCUUCUUCUCGGCCUCCACCCUGCUCUUCGCAGGGGCUUUGAGCCUCUUCUGUUUUCCAGCUAGUCCCAGAAAAACGAAAAGACAGCUUGGGAAGCCCCCAGCAACCGACGCCUGUGCCAGCUCACCUCUGGCCGUGGUGAGGCGGCUGGUGCGCACGAGCAGCCAAGGCCAGCUCCGUGUCCUUCCCUCCCCCUCCCGCUUCACUGGAGCCGGGAGCCUUUUAUGCAGACUGCCAAAGUGGACUAGGUCCUUCCUCACCAAAAAUGGUGAGACAAGAUUUCAUCUUGUUCGCUGAGGAGCCACAACCAG